GACGAACGCUGGCGGCGUGCCUAACACAUGCAAGUCGAACGGAGCACUUCGGUGCUUAGUGGCGAACGGGUGAGUAACGCGUGAGAAACCUGCCUCUCAGUGGGGGGACAACAGUUGGAAACGACUGCUAAUACCGCAUAAUGUAUUCGGAAGGCAUCUUCUGAAUACCAAAGCUUUAUGUGCUGAGAGAUGGUCUCGCGUCUGAUUAGCUAGAUGGCGGGGUAACGGCCCACCAUGGCGACGAUCAGUAGCCGGUCUGAGAGGAUGAACGGCCACAUUGGGACUGAGAUACGGCCCAGACUCCUACGGGAGGCAGCAGUGGGGAAUAUUGGGCAAUGGGGGAAACCCUGACCCAACAACGCCGCGUGAAGGAAGAAGGCCUUCGGGUUGUAAACUUCUUUUACCAGGGACGAAGAACGUGACGGUACCUGGAGAAAAAGCAACGGCUAACUACGUG
rnacentral:rRNA from 1 species